AUGACCCCAAGCUGGGCAGGAGUGUUGACCUGCUCAAGGGUAGGAUCCCUGCAGAGGAAUCUGGAUAGGAUGGACCAAUGGGUUGAGGCCAAUUGUAUGAUGUUCAACAAGGCUAAAUGCUGGGUCCUGCAUCUGGGCCACAACAACCCCAUGCAGUGCAACAGGCUGGGGGAAGAGUGGCAGGAAAGUUGCCUGAUGGGAAGGGACCUGGGGGUAUUGGUCGAUAUCCAGCUGAAUAGGAGCCAGCAGUGUGCUCAGGUGGCUAAGAAGGCCAACAGCAUCCUGGCUUGUAUCAGAAAUAGUGUGGCCAGCAGGACUAGGAAAGUGAUUGUCCCCUGUACUCAGUUCUGGUGAGGCUGCAUCUAGAGUCUUGUGCUCAGUUUUGGGCCUCUCAGUACAAGGACAUCGAGGUGCUGGUGCCUGUCCACAGAAGGGCAACAAACCUGGUGAGGGGUCUAGAAGAGAAGUCUUAUGAGGAAUGGCUGAGGGAACUGAGGUUGUUCAGCCUGGAGAAAAGGAGUCUCAGGGGAGACCUUAUUGCUCUCUAUAAUUACCUUGAAGGAGGCUUUAGUGGGGUGAGGGUUGGUCUCUUCUUCCAAGCAACAAGCAAUAGGACAAAAGGAAAUGGUCUCAAGUUGUGCCACAGAAAGCUUAGGUUGGACGUUAAGAAAAAUGUAUUCACUGAAAGUGUUGUGAGGCAUUGGAACAGGCUGCCCAGGGAAGUGAUUGAGUCACCAUCCUUAUAGGUCUUCAAAAGACAUGUAGAUGUGGUGCUUAGGGACAUGGCGUAAUGGUAGACUUGGCAGUGCUAGCUCAAUGGUUGGACUUCAUGAUCUCAGAGGUCUUUUCAACCUAAAUGAUUCUAUGAUCGUAUGAUUAGCAAAAGAGAAAGGCUAACGUGUAAAGAAUGUAAAAGGGGACAGAAAAAUAUAUGAGAGGAAAAGAAGGAAAAAGAUUAUCACUUCAGGGGGAUGGCAAACAAAGGACAAAUGACAGGGCAGGCUGAAGUGUGAAGCAGUUUUAUGAAUAGAGCUUACCUGAUACAAGAGGCCAUAUACUCUUAGAGCUAGCAAGGGAACUGAAACACAGACCACAGGGAAAAAAAAAAAAAAAGUGAAAGAACAUUUGAAUUAAAUGUACUCAAGUCCUGAUGACAGUUUCUCUGGUAUAAUUAAAGAGUCAGCCACAGUAAUUUUUUCAAAUAGUAAAAAUUAUAUUUAAAAAUAUGGAAGAAUUAUGAGUUACCAAGAAUUACAGAUCAGCCAGCCUGUCUCAGCUAUCUCAAAUACAUUGAAAAAUACUGGAAAAAAAAAGCAAAAACAACAUUGUGUGCUUUAAAACUGCAGAAUGAUGAUGUGAUAAAAACAGCUGACAUGAAUUUAUCCAAAACAAAUGAUAUCCAGCUAGUCUAAUUUUCUUCUCUGAUAAGAGUGAAAUGAAGCUCAAGCACUUAAGAAAAUGGAUUUCCAAAUGAACUUGCUACAUUAAAGGGGUGGCUUGACAUAAGUACAGUCAAAUAUGGUAGAAAGAAGAGUAGAGUAUUACAUUUAAGGUGAGAUAAUCUCAAGAAAAGGAUGCAAAAUCUGUCCAGAAAGAAUCUGGGCUUUUUAGUGGGAUGAAAUCUGAAUGUGAGGUAACAAAUGAUCCCAUUGCCCUGGAUAUUUCAGGAUAACAUAACUGGGAUAAUAGAUAUGGGAGGUACUCCAUAGUGCUUUGGAUUGAUUAGGGGUCACGCAAAGUCCUGUGCCCAGCUUUAGAACAUUAAUGAUUAUGUUCUUGCAGAUCAUUUUCUGCUGUUUUCUGCUGAAUGCUGACAGAAUAACAGUUGGGCCCGGUGAUUUUAUCUGGGCAUGACAAGUGGGGAGCAUGGACAGCUUGUGGCUAACAGACCAGGCCUUCCUCUCCUUCUUUCUCUCUAUUCUCUCUGAAAUAUUUUCAAAAAUGACUACCUGGAUGGACCUUACUAGGUCCCUGGCCAUCAGAAGAAGCAGCACAGCUCCUGGGGACUCAGUGUAUGGAGAACUGUCUGCAGUGUCACAGCACCUAAGGUCCUUUCAUCAUUAGCUGCCUGAGACCAAGGAGAAUGGAUGCCAUGGCGCUCCUAAAAAUCCUGCUAAGCACUCAUCUGCAAUUAACUCCCUUGGGAAAUACAGGCCUGGAUUUUGCAACUUAAAAUGGGGAGAAGGGGAUUUAUUGCAACGCCUUUUGUGGCACCUCGACUGGAUGGUCCUCCUGCUGGGAUGUCAUUAGUGGAAUAAAUGUCUCUGGUAACUUUAUGUAAGGCA
rnacentral:lncRNA from 1 species